rfam:Thioflavicoccus mobilis 8321, complete genome.
GAAGCUCUCCCGAGUUAGGGCCUAGUCAGCCGCUCGGAAGUGUAACGACCGGAGGGCGAAAGCCCGACGGUUGGAUAAGCGCGUGACACGAGGUGAAGGGUGUUGCCCUGAAUCUGAAACGUAGCCCCGAGAAGCUUCUAUUUUGGGAGAGAGCCGAUCCUGUCAGGUCGGGCGCAGGCCAUGCGGGCGGUGCGCAAGAGAUGAGCACCAAGCGUCCCCCCGGGGUCUCAGACGG